UGGGUAUUAGGGGAAUAAAGGGCUGUUAACUCUUUGGAUGGUGAGGCCCCUAUUCAA
rnacentral:tRNA from 1 species